UACUGUGCAGCUUUCAUGAGGUGGAAAGCAGGCAAGAACCUACAGGAUCAGAAUGGAAACUUUUCCUAUAUUUCCCUGGUUUGUUGCUCAAGUUACUGAUGUUGUAAUCCAGGUGUGCAGCACAAGCUACAUUUAGCAAUAGGUAAUUGUGUGGUGUAUAAAGACCUUGUAUCUGAUGGACAUUUGGAGGGAAUGAAGGCUGGCUGCUGAAACUUGUGAACUGAUAAAACCCACCCAGUGAUCCUCAGAGGAGAGGAAGGAGUGUUUGAGCAAGAUGAAGAGGACUGGCCAGCCAAAGGCCAGCAAGGAGGGAGACCAGUACUUUGCAUCUCAGCUGCUGAGCAUGAAGAUCACCAGCACUGCAAAUUUCAGU